UCGGGAGCCACAGCUAAAGGUGCACACAUGGCCAAGUCCAAGAACCACACCACACACAACCAGUCCCGAAAAUGGCACAGAAAUGGUAUCAAGAAACCCCGAUCACAAAGAUACGAAUCUCUUAAGGGGGUGGACCCCAAGUUCCUGAGGAACAUGCGCUUUGCCAAGAAGCACAACAAGAAGGGCCUAAAGAAGAUGCAGGCCAACAAUGGCAAGGCCAUGAGUGCACGUGCCGAGGCUGUCAAGGCCCUCGUAAAGCCCAAGGAGGUUAAGCCCAAGAUCCCAAAGGGUGUCAGCCGCAAGCUUAAUCAACUUGCCUACAUUGCCCACCCCAAGCUUGGGAAGCGUGCUUGUGCUCGCAUUGCCAAGGGGCUCCAGCUGAUCAAACCAAGGCCCAGGCUGCACCUCCAGCUUCAAUUCCAGCUCAGUCUCCCAAAGGUGCCCAGGCCACUACAAAGGCUACAGAGUAG